rnacentral:rRNA from 1 species
CGAACGGGUGAGUAAUGCGUGACCAACCUGCCCCAUGCUCCAGAAUAGCUCUUGGAAACGGGUGGUAAUGCUGGAUGCUCCAACUUGACGCAUGUCUUGUUGGGAAAGUGUUUAGUGGCAUGGGAUGGGGUCGCGUCCUAUCAGCUUGUAGGCGGGGUAAUGGCCCACCUAGGCUUCGACGGGGUUAGCCGGCCCUGAGAGGGCGGACGGCCACAUUGGGACUGAGAUACGGCCCAGACUCCGUACGGGAGGCAGCAGCA